UACGGGGGGGGCAAGCGUUGUUCGGAAUUACUGGGCGUAAAGGGCUCGUAGGCGGCCAACUUAGUCGGAUGUGAAAUCCCCAGGCUCAACCUGGGAACUGCAUCCGAUACUGGAUGGCUUGAAUUCGGGAGAGGGAUGCAGAAUUCCAGGUGUAGCGGUGAAAUGCGUAGAUAUCUGGAGGAAUACCGGUGGCGAAGGCGGCAUCCUGGACCGACAUUGACGCUGAUGAGCGAAAGCUAGGGGAGCAAACGGG
rnacentral:rRNA from 1 species